UACUUAAAAAGUGACUGAAACUUUCAA
rnacentral:piRNA from 1 species